rnacentral:piRNA from 1 species
UAGUCACAAUAGUGGGGUUCGCAGAUGC